rnacentral:rRNA from 1 species
CGGGAGUCAACAGGGUAAUGCCCACACACGCAGCCUCUGGCUGUUUAAUCAUUAGGCAAUGUAGUGAACAGGUCGUCCCGCAAGUACAAUACCUCACUCAAAGUCCGGCAAUGAAUACCGUAUAACCGACAUCGCCCACAGAAGGUGUAAGGCCCGUGAGGGUGGAGUUCGAGAGUCCACUGUCUCUCUGGAUAGACCUUGGAGUCGGGUUGUUUGUGAAUGCAGCCCAAAGUGGGUGGUAAACUCCAUCCAAGGCUAAAUACAUACACGAGUCCGAUAGUAAACAAGUCCCGUGAGGGAAAGUGGAAAAGUACUUUGAAGAGACAGUAAACAGUGCGUGAAGCCGCUCAGAGUGCAAACGGAUGGAAUUGAACUGCUUGCUUUGAGGAUUCAGCUGUCGAAUAUGGUUUGAGCUUGGUCAAACCGGCUGAACCUCGUAGUCUGCGUAGUAGCAGGUGUGCGUCCAUUGACGGAGGUGUGCGAUACGCUUAUCAUGUGUCGUACGCCACGUGGUUCAUCGCGCCGGCUUGCCAGUGCAUUUUCUCUUAGCACUAACCAUGACUGGUAUUAUUGCCAGGCUGUCGGGGUUAAACCGGUCAUUCAUCGCCCUUGCGCGUUCUAUUAGUUGGGAUGGUUAAUAACAUACUGGCUAGUGCCCGCUUCGCUACAUGCGAAACACUCAUGAGUGCAAUCAGCCGACCGUGAUGGUUCAGUGCAGAAUGUCUUAGACGCGGGCUAGCGUGUAUGCAUGCGUACCAGUUCAGUUGACAUGUUUGAGUUUGGUUGUCAUGUUGCUUGUCAAAGCAGGCCUGUCGAUAACUUGAGCUUGUUCGUAUGGCACUCGUGCAUGUAUUUCCUUCCAAGGGCCUACAGUCCAUGGUGCAGUGGAAUACUAUCCACUCGACCCGUCUUGAGACACGGACCAAGGAGAUUAACAUUUACGCGAGUCAUUGGGCCAUACGAAACUCAAAGGCAUAGUGAAAGUGAAGGUCCGGCUUGUCCGGAUUGUAGUGAGAUCCUGCGCUGUCUCGUGCGUGGUACUACCAAGUGUCGCUCGGUAGGCGCAUCACCGGCCCGUCCCAUGAUAAUUGCUCUCGGGCUUUUAUCAGUCGGGGCGGAGCAUGAGCGUACAUGUUGAGACCCGAAAGAUGGUGAACUAUGCUUGCGCAGGUUGAAGCCAGAGGAAACUCUGGUGGAGGACCGAAGCGGUUCUGACGUGCAAAUCGAUCGCCAGACGUGAGUAUAGGGGCG